UUCCGGAAACAAAGGGGAAGGCGGGGCGCUUGUGUGAUGUCCUGGCGCGCGCCGCCGCCGCCGCCGCCGCCACCGCCCCCUGAGAGCUACGCGAGGGGAGCGGCUCCCGGCCAGCUCGUGCUGGAGGAGCGCGGGGGCGGGGCCCGGUUUGUGGUUAAAGGGGAAUAAAAGCCUCGUUCGGAAAGGGGCUAAAGCCAAGCGGUGCCGGGCUGAGGAAGCCACGCGCGUGUCUGAGGCGCGUGUCGCGGGUCUGGAGCCUUUGCCAAAAAAAAAAAAAAAAAAAAAGAGGAAAUUGCCCAACGACCCCUUCCCCCGAUAAAUAAUAUGCUUCCCUGACCACAGAUUAAACCUGGGCCAUUUUGCAGAUAUCUCCACUAGUGUAUCCAGUGCAUACAAACUGAAACCUUCAUAUAGUUGAAGCAAAAAUGGGAGUUCCAUAAAGGAAUUCCAAAAUGGACUUCACCAGCAAAUUGAGAAUCUGGAGACGUGUUUGAGUGCUGAGACGGAAAAGGAGAUAACCUACCCAAGCAAUGAGAACCUCCUGCUCACCAGCCUCAAACUGAAGAGAUAAUUCUAGACAAUAGAUGAUUUCCUGAAAGAAAAGCAAUACUGCCGGUGUGCCAGGAGAUCAUCCGUGCGGAAAUAUCCAGAUGUUUUCUCAUUCUUGACAUACUGACAAAUCGGCUUAAAAACGAAGCACGUGAUACUUCAAGUAAUGAUGUUAUGAAAACCGCUGAGUGACACUGUACUUCCAUUGGAAUUUGUUGUCUCUACAAGCACUACCUUUCGAGACUCUCAUCAAUUCAUUUUGCAUUAAGCAAGUGACUAACUACUACAAAAAUCUAAUUGCACAGUUUACUUACUACUAGAUAUUGCUGGAUUGAUUCACUCACGUGAGAAUAUGUAAAACAGAAGAUAUUGCUCCAAACAAGCCAAAACAAAAUGAAGUCUGUGAAUAGGAGAAAAGCUUUAUGAUUUCUUAAUCAUCAUUGAUAUUAUGUCAUUGCUCAGAAUUUGCUUUGGGCUGCUCUUAAAAAUGAAAUCAUACCCCUGAACUAUAACUGGCUUUGCUUCAGCAUUACAAAUGUGAACCAGGACAACUUCCAAACAAAAUGGAAGGAUAAUUUUCCUGUAAGGUCAGAAUGAAGAGAGAGACUUUAUGCCUCUCAAAAUGGUUCUUAAGCUCAGAAAGACCUAGAAAGAGACUGCCAAAGUGGCCACCCAGGCGAUCAUCCAACAGAUUCCUUACAUCUUGUGCCAAAUUCCCUUCCUAGCUGCCUGGAAUGACAGUCCCAUUCAAAGAUCGUAACAUGGACUCGUAAGAAAAUGGAGCUUCUGGAGGCCUGUUUCACUGCAAGGAUAAAAAAAAAGACACAAGUAUAUCCCAAUUUAUAGGUUACUUAUAAUGGGGUGUACUGGAAUUUUAAGCUAGUGCGACUAUAUAGUCUCUUCCUGCACUGUGAAAAUAUUUUCAGAUCAUUUUACUGUAUGUGUAAAAGUAUUUUUAUGUUCCAAAUUCUAUGUAUUUAUAAUAUUUAUUGCUGUUAUUUAUCUUUUUCAGAGAUAUUUUAUAAUAUUUCUAAAUAUGUAUUUAUUUAAACAAAAUUGGAACCUAAACCAGUAGUGAUAGGUAUUAGUAAGAUUUUUUUUUAAAAAGAUCCAAUAAAAAUCUCUUGUUCUGCUGUAUGA